CAAACAGUUUUACAUAUUUAAAAAUAUACAUACUUAAAAUUAACAUAUUACUAAACCUACAGUUCCCUAAAUAUGCAUAUAAAACAAAAAAGUAUACGGUAUACUGACACUUAUAAACGUAAGUUUUAUAAACGUUAAAAAAAACAAAGUAAAAUGAACGCAACACCACCCGUAUCCCUCAAACUAUGCAACGAACGCACAUUUUCUAAGUUUGCUGGAUGACAGGCACCGGUUGGUUACGUUCGGGAGCGAGCGGUCGUGUUACGCAACGAGAUAAGUACUAAAAUGCUAUAGUGUAAAUUAACAUAAGUCGGAAUCUAAAUGAUCCGGAGACCUAAAAAAGAAACAAUUGUUCAAUACAGGUCGCAGUGUUUGUAUAAUGCGAUGUGUUUACUUUUUGAUAAAUACUUAUUAUUAGUAUUUAUAUGACGGCUUGCGAGAACCCCGGAUUUUGCAAUGUAAACUCCACGCACCAAACGUGGUGUAUACUGUAGAUAAUAACAUCUAUAAUUAUAAUUGUAUGAAUCAAGGACAGUGAUGAUGAUGAUAUGAUCGUCAUCUAUAGCAAGAUAUUAAAUUCUUCAUCAUAAAAAAAAAUAAAUAUGAAUGGAUGGCGUGAAGGCCAGAAACUUUAGGUCUCCUGACUCCAUUUAAUGACGUAACAAAACUCAGGACACAACAACGGCGCACUCGCUGCUAUGAGGACUUAUAUUACUAAUAUAAUAAGUACACGAAUAAUAGAAAGUAGCAAACAACCAGUUAAGCAAUACAAAAGAAUAAUCAAAAAUUACAAAAAAACAAUUACCUACACUAUUUUAGUCAACAUUAGCACAUAUAAGGUCAGUGAUGUGGUUUUUAAAUUUUAUUAACGAUAUAUUAAAUAAUU